AUUGAACGCUGGCGGCAGGCCUAACACAUGCAAGUCGAGCGAGCGGCGGACGGGUGAGUAAUGUAUGGGGACUGCCCGAUAGAGGGGGAUAACUACUGGACACGGUAGCUAAUACCGCAUACUAUCGGAUAACCCAUAUGGGAUUAGCUAGUAGGUGAGGUAAUGGCUCACCUAGGCAACCAUCCCUACCUGGUCUGAGAGGAUGAACAGCCACACUGGGACUGAGACACGGCCCAGACUCCUACGGAGGCAGCAGUGGGGAAUAUUGCACAAUGGGCGCAAGCCUGAUGCAGCCAUGCCGCGUGUAUGAAGAAGGUCCUAGGGUUGUAAAGUUCUUUAAGUCGGGAGGCGUUACCGACAGAGGAAGCACCGGCUAACUCCGUGCCAGCAGCCGCGGUAAUUC
rnacentral:rRNA from 1 species